GUCGGCUGCUUGGGAAGUCUGAGGAUUACUGGGACUAACAGGACUUCAGCUGGGGCUUCAACGUGUGGUGUGGGCUUCCUGACACCACGGCCACUGGUUUCCAAGAGUUUCAACAAUAUUUUCAUCAUAUUUAUUGAAGGCCUCACUGACAGACUUCUCAAGGCCCCUCUACCUUCUAUUCGCUGCCUGGCCCCAAAGCCAGUGCCACACAUUUUAGGUUUUUAACUGCAGCAGCACCUAUGAUGUUUCCAAAAUCUGUAUCAUUAAAGUUUGAUCAGAGAAGCAAAACCACCUUGAGCAAAACAAGGAAUUUAUUAAAGAGAUUAGGAUACACAUUGUUAUGAAAGCUGCAACCUGCUGCCCCUGUGUCCAGAAGUGGGCCUGAAGUCAGCAGGGCUGGCAAAUGGAUGUGCAGUGGGAGAGAGUAGGCGUGAGCUGCACCUGCAGGGAGGAGAUGGAACUCCUGUGGAUGGACUGAAACUGAUGUCUUCCACGUCAGCCUCUCAGGCCUCCAACACUCCAGCGCUGAUGAUGAAGAUGACCUGCAGAGGAGCUGGUGCCCUUCACCAUGGAAUUGCUCAUAAACCCAAGAUUCAGUGAAGCUGAAGAAGCAGUUCUGGUGGGAGCUGGAGGAACUGCAGGCACAGCUGCUGCCCUGUACCAAUACAUUGAGCCAGUGGCUGCCUGGCAUUGUGUGUGAGCCACCACAGCGCCUGGCCCUACACAGACUUUGACUGUAAAUAUGACUGCUGUUUCACUUCUGCCUUCCAAAUUUUGCUCAGAUUUUCUGAGAAACAUAGUUCAGCUUAGGUACAUUGACACAGUACAAAGCCACCGCAGUGGCUGGUUAGGGAGGGAUUAUGAAUGCAGGCUGAGAAUGCACGGGAAGCGUUUGUCUAUUUAUAGAGUAGGUACCAUUCAAGGAUUUAUGUGAAUCAGGUGCAAAGAACUCACACAAAGAUGGGGAAAGUUAGUACUUAGAAAUCAGUGAUACUAGAUAACCAAUAAAUAAAAAUAAACUUA
rnacentral:lncRNA from 1 species